UUGAACGCUGGCGGCAUNCCUUACACNUGCAAGUCGAACGGUAACAGGGAGCUUGCUCCGCUGACGAGUGGCGAACGGGUGAGUAAUAUAUCGGAACGUACCUUUGAGUGGGGGAUAACUNGUCGAAAGAUUAGCUAAUACCGCAUACGAUCUACGGAUGAAAGUGGGGGAUCGCAAGACCUCAUGCUCAUAGAGCGGCCGAUAUCUGAUUAGCUAGUUGGUGAGGUAAAGGCUCACCAAGGCUUCGAUCAGUAGCUG
rnacentral:rRNA from 1 species